rnacentral:rRNA from 1 species
UACGUAGGGUGCGAGCGUUAAUCGGAAUUACUGGGCGUAAAGCGUGCGCAGGCGGUAAGUUAAGUCUGAUGUGAAAGCCCCGGGCUCAACCUGGGAAUGGCAUUGGAAACUGGCUUGCUGGAGUGUGGCAGAGGGGGGUGGAAUUCCGCGUGUAGCAGUGAAAUGCGUAGAGAUGCGGAGGAACACCGAUGGCGAAGGCAGCCCCCUGGGCCAACACUGACGCUCAGGCACGAAAGCGUGGGUAGCAAACAGG